UACGAAGGGGGCUAGCGUUGCUCGGAAUUACUGGGCGUAAAGGGCGCGUAGGCGGAUGUUUAAGUCAGAGGUGAAAGCCCAGGGCUCAACCUUGGAACUGCCUUUGAUACUGGGCAUCUUGAGUACGGGAGAGGUGAGUGGAACUCCGAGUGUAGAGGUGAAAUUCGUAGAUAUUCGGAAGAACACCAGUGGCGAAGGCGGGUCUCUGGACAGUUCCUGACGCUGAGGCACGAAGGCUAGGGGAGCAAACGGG
rnacentral:rRNA from 1 species